GACGAACGCUGGCGGCGUGCUUAACACAUGCAAGUCGAGCGGAGCGGCGCACGGGUGAGUAACGCGUGAGUAACUGCCCCCCUCUCUGGGAUAACAGUUGGAAACGGCUGCUAAUACCGGCUAGAGGGGGUUGACUCGCGUCCUAUCAGCUGGUUGGGGGGGUAGGGGCCUACCAAGGCGACGACGGGUAGCCGGCCUGAGAGGGCGACCGGCCACAUUGGGCGGCGUUACGGGCCAAACUCCUACGGGGGGCAGCAGGGGGGAAUAUUUCACAAUGGGGGAAAGCCUGAUGCAUCAACGCCGCGUGCGGGAUGACGGCCUGCGGGUUGUAAACCGCUUGCAGCCAUGACGCGGUAGUGGCAGAAGAAGCACCGGCUAACUACGUGCCAGCCGCCGCGGUAAUAC
rnacentral:rRNA from 1 species